rnacentral:rRNA from 1 species
GACGAACGCUGGCGGCGUGCCUAAUACAUGCAAGUGGAACGCAUUGAUAUCACCGGAGCUUGCUCCACCGAUAUAAAUGAGUCGCGAACGGGUGAGUAACGCGUAGGUAACCUGCCUGAUAGCGGGGGAUAACUAUUGGAAACGAUAGCUAAUACCGCAUGAGAGUGUUUAACACAUGUUAGAGACUUAAAAGAUACAAUUGUAUCACUAUCAGAUGGACCUGCGUUGUAUUAGCUAGUUGGUAGGGUAGCGGCCUACCAAGGCAACGAUACAUAGCCGACCUGAGAGGGUGAUCGGCCACACUGGGACUGAGACACGGCCCAGACUCCUACGGGAGGCAGCAGUAGGGAAUCUUCGGCAAUGGACGAAAGUCUGACCGAGCAACGCCGCGUGAGUGAAGAAGGUUUUCGGAUCGUAAAGCUCUGUUGUAGCGGAA